GCCAGCCUCUCUGCGCCCUGCUCGGCGCCGUCGCCUCCCUCGCACCCGUGUGCUCGACGUCCGGCUCUGCGCCCUCCCCGGACAGGACGCGCCCUCCCUCGCCCCGGCAGCCUCUCGACCCUCCCCUCCCCGGCGGCUCGACGUCGCGCUCCUGCACCCGGUCCCGGGCUCCCGGCAACGCGCCCCUCCCUCAGUCCCUCGCCCCGGCGGACCGGCGAUGUGCCCCUCCCCCGCGCCGGCGCCUGCAGCUCAGGAUUCAUGGUAGAUGGACUUUCAAUCUAAAAAUUGACGGUGGAACCUGACUUAGUUGGACUGAUACAGAGUGCAACACGAGCAUUGAGGGUAUGGCAGGGAUUUGAAUUCCGGCGAAAUUUCACCGGUCAAUGAAAUAUGCCAUAUAGUUCAAAAGAAAUCGUAGGUUUUCUCCCACUGACAAGUGAGACCCAGAGCGUGAAGUGGGAAAUUUUAGGUGUUUGGAUUUUGGGAUAUGAGAGAUGGGAAAGGGAAAUGAACACUUAGAUAGAGUUAAACUAAUGUUUGGAUAUUAGGAAUGGGAAAUGAGAGUGGAUCGAGAAACGGAAAUGAGGAGCAUAUAUCCCAAAGAUCUAAAUCCACUGAGGUUUUGUUCGGUUAGCCCCGUGACGGCUGGGGUCGCGGCCUAAACCCCUGCGGAUCAGUUCAGCACGGAAAAUUUUCCAACUUAACAAUUUUUGCAUCUUCGUUUAAGUCUAGUUGGAAUUCUAACCCAGCCCACCAUCGUUUCCCUCUCUUUUGGCCCGGGAAAAAAUCAUCGAGUUUGUAGGUGUGGAAAAAUUCCUCGACGCGAGUUGGAGGCGGCGCUGGGGCCACACGACUCGGAGGCGACGGCGAUGCGGUGAUCUCCCCUCCGGCGUCGGCAGGCUACUACUGAAUAGAGGCGACGAGCACCUCCUUGAGUGCCUCACCCGCGUGGCCGCGCCCCCCUGCGCCUCCCUCUUGCCGCUCCCCGCCAUCUGCCGCCGCUUUGCCUGCCUCCUGCCGCUUCCUACGCCGCCGCAAGAAGUUCUGGCGCAAGAAGUUCGCAGCCGCCACCAUGGUCCAUGGGCGAGCGGAUCUACGACCGCAGAGGAGCCCAGAUCCGUAGAGCAUGGCUUCAAGAUCCGGCAGCUCGUCGGCUCGUCGGAGGGCCGCCGAGGACCCUAGCGAUGAGCUGCCCCUGCUGGACGCCGAGGCGGAGGGCCUGCUGCUGGUGCAGCCUCAGUCACGCGAUGAGCCUGCUGCUGGUGCUGCCUCAGUCAACAACUGAUGUAUGUGUUGAGCUGCUGCUUCUGAUGAGCCGCCGGAUGUAUGAGCAUGUAAAUUGAGCUGAUGUAUAUGUGCAUGUAAAUGGCAACACAUACAAACAACUGAUGUAUGUGCUGCUGCUUGUGCUUCUUCAUUUACAAUGCAAGCAUGUAAAUUGAGCAUGUAAAGUAUGUUAUGAACAACCUAUAUCUGUAUGCAAGCAUGUAAAUUUCAGUCAA